rnacentral:rRNA from 1 species
CCUACGGGUGGCAGCAGUGAGGAAUAUUGGUCAAUGGCCGGAAGGCUGAACCAGCCAUGCCGCGUGAAGGUCAGUGCCCUAUGGGCGUUAAACUUCUUUUGUGCGGGAGCAAUAAUGGUCACGUGUGGCCAGACGAGAGUACCGUACGAAUAAGCAUCGGAUAACUCUGUGCCAGCAGCCGCGGUAAUACGGGGGAUGCAAGCGUUAUCCGGAUUUACUGGGUGUAAAGGGGGCGCAGACGGCAAUGCAAGCCAGGAGUGAAAGCCCGGGGCCCAACCCCGGGACUGCUCUUGGAACUGCAUGGCUGGAGUACAGGAGAGGCAGGCGGAAUUCCUAGUGUAGCGGUGAAAUGCGUAGAUAUUAGGAGGAACACCAGUGGCGAAGGCGGCCUGCUGGACUGUGACUGACGUUGAGGCCCGAAGGCGUGGGGAGCAAACAGGAUUAGAUACCCCAGUAGUC